rnacentral:rRNA from 1 species
UCAGGCCUAACACAUGCAAGUCGUACGAGAGUUUUUAACUCAAGUGGCGGACGGGUGAGUAACACGUAAGAAUUUGCCUUUAGGAGGGGGAUAACAACUGGAAACGAUUGCUAAUACCCCAUAUGCUUUCGAGUGAAAUGGUUUUUCCGCCUAAAGAGAAGCUUGCGGCUGAUUAGCUUGUUGGUGAGGUAAUAGCUCACCAAGGCGACGAUCAGUAUCUGGUUUGAGAGGACGAUCAGACACACUGGAACUGAGACACGGUCCAGACUCCUACGGGAGGCAGCAGUAGGGAAUUUUCCGCAAUGGGCGAAAGCCUGACGGAGCAAUACCGCGUGAGGGAUGACGGCCUAUGGGUUGUAAACCUCUUUUUUCAGGGAGGAAUAAAUGACGUGUACCUGAAGAAUAAGCAUCGGCUAACUCCGUGCCAGCAGCCGCGGUAAGACGGAGGAUGCAAGUGUUAUCCGGAAUCACUGGGCGUAAAGCGUCUGUAGGUGGUCAAAUAAGUCAACUGUUAAAUCUUGAGGCUCAACCUCAAAACCGCAGUCGAAACUAUUAGACUAGAGUAUAGUAGGGGUAAAGGGAAUUUCCAGUGGAGCGGUGAAAUGCGUAGAGAUUGGAAGGAACACCGAUGGCGAAGGCACUUUACUGGGCUAUUACUAACACUCAGAGACGAAAGCUAGGGUAGCAAAUGGGAUUAGAU